rnacentral:rRNA from 1 species
AGAGUUUGAUCAUGGCUCAGAUUGAACGCUGGCGGCAGGCCUAACACAUGCAAGUCGAGCGGUAGCACAGAGAGCUUGCUCUCGGGUGACGAGCGGCGGACGGGUGAGUAAUGUCUGGGAAACUGCCUGAUGGAGGGGGAUAACUACUGGAAACGGUAGCUAAUACCGCAUAACGUCGCAAGACCAAAGUGGGGGACCUUCGGGCCUCAUGCCAUCAGAUGUGCCCAGAUGGGAUUAGCUAGUAGGUGGGGUAACGGCUCACCUAGGCGACGAUCCCUAGCUGGUCUGAGAGGAUGACCAGCCACACUGGAACUGAGACACGGUCCAGACUCCUACGGGAGGCAGCAGUGGGGAAUAUUGCACAAUGGGCGCAAGCCUGAUGCAGCCAUGCCGCGUGUGUGAAGAAGGCCUUCGGGUUGUAAAGCACUUUCAGCGGGGAGGAAGGCGUUAAGGUUAAUAACCUUGGCGAUUGACGUUACCCGCAGAAGAAGCACCGGCUAACUCCGUGCCAGCAGCCGCGGUAAUACGGAGGGUGCAAGCGUUAAUCGGAAUUACUGGGCGUAAAGCGCACGCAGGCGGUCUGUCAAGUCGGAUGUGAAAUCCCCGGGCUCAACCUGGGAACUGCAUUCGAAACUGGCAGGCUAGAGUCUUGUAGAGGGGGGUAGAAUUCCAGGUGUAGCGGUGAAAUGCGUAGAGAUCUGGAGGAAUACCGGUGGCGAAGGCGGCCCCCUGGACAAAGACUGACGCUCAGGUGCGAAAGCGUGGGGAGCAAACAGGAUUAGAUACCCUGGUAGUCCACGCCGUAAACGAUGUCGAUUUGGAGGUUGUGCCCUUGAGGCGUGGCUUCCGGAGCUAACGCGUUAAAUCGACCGCCUGGGGAGUACGGCCGCAAGGUUAAAACUCAAAUGAAUUGACGGGGGCCCGCACAAGCGGUGGAGCAUGUGGUUUAAUUCGAUGCAACGCGAAGAACCUUACCUGGUCUUGACAUCCACAGAACUUUCCAGAGAUGGAUUGGUGCCUUCGGGAACUGUGAGACAGGUGCUGCAUGGCUGUCGUCAGCUCGUGUUGUGAAAUGUUGGGUUAAGUCCCGCAACGAGCGCAACCCUUAUCCUUUGUUGCCAGCGGUUCGGCCGGGAACUCAAAGGAGACUGCCAGUGAUAAACUGGAGGAAGGUGGGGAUGACGUCAAGUCAUCAUGGCCCUUACGACCAGGGCUACACACGUGCUACAAUGGCAUAUACAAAGAGAAGCGACCUCGCGAGAGCAAGCGGACCUCAUAAAGUAUGUCGUAGUCCGGAUUGGAGUCUGCAACUCGACUCCAUGAAGUCGGAAUCGCUAGUAAUCGUAGAUCAGAAUGUUACGGUGAAUACGUUCCCGGGCCUUGUACACACCGCCCGUCACACCAUGGGAGUGGGUUGCAAAAGAAGUAGGUAGCUUAACCUUCGGGAGGGCGCUUACCACUUUGUGAUUCAUGACUGGGGUGAAGUCGUAACAAGGUAACCGUAGGGGAACCUGCGGUUGGAUCACCU